GACCCUGCAGCACAUGGUGUGCAUCCGCUCUUCGUAUUCCCGAGUCGUUCAAAUAUCGCAGCGGAGGGACCCGGUUCGACUCCGGGCGGGAUUA